ACUCGCUUCGGCGGUGUAUACACCAAAAUUGGAACGAUACAGAGACGAUUAGCAUGGCACUCGUGCAAGGAUGACAGAGAAGAGAAGGUGAAGGAGCUCAUGAAC